rnacentral:rRNA from 1 species
AGUGAACGCUGGCGGUAGGCCUAACACAUGCAAGUCGAACGGCAGCACAGGAGAGCUUGCUCUCUGGGUGGCGAGUGGCGGACGGGUGAGGAAUACAUCGGAAUCUACUCUGUCGUGGGGGACAACGUAGGGAAACUUACGCUAAUACCGCAUACGACCUACGGGUGAAAGCAGGGGACCUUCGGGCCUUGCGCGAUUGAAUGAGCCGAUGUCGGAUUAGCUAGUUGGCGGGGUAAAGGCCCACCAAGGCGACGAUCCGUAGCUGGUCUGAGAGGAUGAUCAGCCACACUGGAACUGAGACACGGUCCAGACUCCUACGGGAGGCAGCAGUGGGGAAUAUUGGACAAUGGGCGCAAGCCUGAUCCAGCCAUACCGCGUGGGUGAAGAAGGCCUUCGGGUUGUAAAGCCCUUUUGUUGGGAAAGAAAUCCAGCUGGCUAAUACCCGGUUGGGACGACGGUACCCAAAGAAUAAGCACCGGCUAACUUCGUGCCAGCAGCCGCCGUAA